GUGCUUGCUCAGGCAGCACAUAUGAAAAAUUGGAAUCGAUACAGAGAAGAUCAGCAUGGCCCCUGCGCGAAAGGAUGACACGCAAAAUCGUGAAGCGUUUCCACAUUUU
rnacentral:snRNA from 1 species